rnacentral:sRNA from 1 species
AGUCAGCUUGCUCCAGCAGUUAUUUCUCUUCAGACCUCCAUCUCUCCCUUGGGUUUCCUCCCUUGUAGUAAAUGAUCUUGCCUUCUGUUUCACAGAGAAAAGAGAAAGCAUCAGGACCGUGUGUAUGUACAACAAAAUAAUGUGGAGAAUGUCUACAAUUUGGGAUUAAUUAUUUUUCGAGAUCAAGUUGUACGUUAUGGGUGUAUUAGGGAUCAUCUACGGCAAACUCUAUUGGAUAUGAUUGCAAGAGAGCGGAAAGGAGAAGUUGUAGACAGAGGCGCAAUAAGAAAUGCUUGCCAGAUGUUAAUGAUUUUAGGUCUCGAAGGAAGAUCAGUCUAUGAAGAAGAUUUUGAGGCUCCUUUUUUGGAAAUGUCUGCAGAAUUUUUUCAGAUGGAAAGCCAGAAAUUUUUAGCAGAAAAUAGUGCUUCAGUAUAUAUAAAGAAAGUAGAAGCUAGAAUUAAUGAAGAAAUAGAACGAGUGAUGCACUGCCUUGACAAAUCAACGGAAGAACCAAUUGUAAAGGUGGUUGAAAGGG